ACCUCUCGGUCUUCUUCACACCUCAGGUCGUCUUCAUACCUCCUCACAGGCGUGGCUGAGGGGUGGGAACUUGAAGGGUCAUAGGUCAGCAGGCAGGCACGCAGGAGGUCAUGAGUCGCAGGCAGCCCCUUCCUGUGUCCCCUCCAGGGCCGAUUCACGAUUGCGGCCAAGCACCACAUCUCCAUUGCUGAGAUCUAUGAGACGGAGUUGGUGGACAUCGAGAAGGCCAUUGCCCACUACGAGCAGUCCGCAGACUACUACAAAGGCGAGGAGUCCAACAGGUAGCCCCCUUCCUGCCUGCCCCAGCCCCGCAGGGACCGCCACCACUUCCCCUCACUACUCCUCCCCACACAGCUCAGCCAACAAGUGUCUGCUGAAGGUGGCUGGUUACGCCGCGCUGCUGGAGCAGUAUCAGAAGGCCAUUGACAUCUACGAACAGGUGGGGACCAAUGCCAUGGACAGCCCCCUCCUCAAGUACAGCGCCAAAGACUACUUCUUCAAGGCGGCCCUCUGCCACUUCUGCAUCGACAUGCUCAACGCCAAGCUGGCUGUCCAAAAGUAUGAGGAGCUGUUCCCAGCUUUCUCUGAUUCCCGGGAAUGCAAGUUGAUGAAAAAAUUGCU
rnacentral:sRNA from 1 species